rnacentral:rRNA from 1 species
AAACGAAAGAUAAUACCGCAUGUAGAUCUUAUUAUCGCAUGAGAAAAGAUCAAAAGAACCGUUUGGUUCACUAUGAGAUGGGGAUGCGGCGUAUUAGCUAGUAGGUGAGAUAAUAGCCCACCUAGGCGAUGAUACGUAGCCGAACUGAGAGGUUGAUCGGCCACAUUGGGACUGAGAUACGGCCCAGACUCCUACGGGAGGCAGCAGUAGGGAAUUUUUCACAAUGGACGAAAGUCUGAUGAAGCAAUGCCGCGUGAGUGAUGACGGCCUUCGGGUUGUAAAGCUCUGUUGUAAGGGAAGAAAAAAUAAAGUAGGAAAUGACUUUAUCUUGACAGUACCUUACCAGAAAGCCACGGCUAACUAUGUGCCAGCAGCCGCGGUAAUACAUAGGUGGCAAGCGUUAUCCGGAUUUAUUGGGCGUAUAGGGUGCGUAGGCGGUUUUGCAAGUUUGAGGUUAAAGUCCGGAGCUCAACUCCGGUUCGCCUUGAAAACUGUAUUACUAGAAUGCAAGAGAGGUAAGCGGAAUUCCAUGUGUAGCGGUGAAAUGCGUAGAUAUAUGGAAGAACACCUGUGGCGAAAGCGGCUUACUGGCUUG